UACGUAGGGGGCAAGCGUUGUCCGGAUUUAUUGGGCGUAAAGAGCGUGUAGGCGGCCAUACAGGUCAGCUGUGAAAACUCGAGGCUCAACCUCGAGACGUCGGUUGAAACCGUAUGGCUAGAGUCCGGAAGAGGAGAGUGGAAUUCCCGGUGUAGCGGUGAAAUGCGCAGAUAUCGGGAAGAACACCCGUGGCGAAGGCGGCUCUCUGGGCCUGUUCUGACGCUGAGGCGCGAAAGCUAGGGGAGCGAACAGG
rnacentral:rRNA from 1 species